UAAUAAAUGUAGAUGUUAUACCCAGAUUUAUCAGUGGGUCAGUCACAUUUGUGAGAUUUGGAAAAGAAUUAUCAUUCACUGAUCAUUUCACUCAGCUUCCAGCCCUCGUUCCUUCCCAAGCCUGUCCUGUAAGCUCCCAGGUUUUUAUUUCAUAUACAUACACAGCCUCUCUUUACCUGCCUCCCAUGCCUGUCUUCCUAGGUGCACACGUGGUCCUGAAAGCAGAGGUGGUGCUUUUAGGAAGGCUGCACAGUACAUUGUGUUAGCUGUUACUCCAAGAGAAGGAGGAAGGGAGAAUCCAAACUUCAGAUCUCCUGCAUUUCUUCAGGUUGUCCCGUCAAUGCUGGAACUCCAUUUCCUGGCUGAACUGAAGAAUGUGAACCUUGCUGAUCUCUGAUAAUGCCAGUGUCCUCACCAAACCAGAUUUAUUUCUGAAUUAUCUUUUUCCUCUGGUGCAACUGUUAUCAACACAGCAGCAAAACUGGGAGGGCAGGUGUUGCUUCAUGAAGUAAAUCCCCAAGUUGCUGCUAUGGUUGAGGACUUCUCCUCUUCCCUCAAGCAUGCAGAAGGUCCGAGUUGUGACACAUGAACACACAGGGCUUGGACAUUUCCAAGAUGUGAUGGAGCCUCAAGGCGAGAACUGAAGGGUGGUUCUCUGCCAGGCCGGAGCUUCUGCCCAGGGAAAACAAGUGAUAAACAGCCUUCUCGAUGCCCUGCUCAGCCGUUCCAUCAGGACAGAAAGGCAGAUGAGUUUCUCUGAACAGCUAAGAGGAUUCACUGUAACCACAAGCAAGGUGUUUUGCAUGGUAUGAAGGAAGGACCUGAUCCUGCUCUGCAGAAGCCAUUGGCAGCAGGGUCCUGGUCAAGUAAAUGGGGCUUACUUCCUUCUGGGUGCACGGUGUAAGCAUUUCCCCGCUUCUCUCAUCUCCCACGUGGGUGAGUUUACUUUCCUGAUUUUCAGCAGUAAUAAACAGGGGUGUGGAGAGGUGCACAAACUCCUUCCAACAGCCAGUUUGUGCAGUCCAUGUGCAUCCCAUACGGGAAUUGCCGCCCCGUCACUGAGACACGAGGCCGGUUCGACAGUCGGGACGCAGCCGUUAUUCCAAGGAUGUUUUCAAUAGGCUUAAAAAUCCCCCUCACGUGCCACUUUGCCUGGUGGCAGCGUCACGUGGUGUGGAAAUGCUGUGCUCCUGAGCUGUCCCAGGGAGGCUGGUCAGCACAAAACUCACCCAUUGAAGUGUCAGUUGGUGCAUGUCAGGGCCAGAAAGAGAAGCCAGUUGUUUUCCAGACCCAUGCUGAGGAAUGCAGUUGCAGGCAUUGCUUGCGUUCCCCGUUUGCGCUUUCUGUGGUUUCACCCCUACUUUAUCAGAUUGUCUCUUGAGGGGUCACAAACGUGGGUCAGAUUUAUCUGCCACAUGCUCAGGAUAUUGCCCUACUUGAUUUUUUGUUGUUGUUGUUUUCAUGCAGUGCUGGGACCUGCUGCAGUCUGUAAAGGAUUUCCUUCAGAGCAGCACAGAGGGUGACACUGAAUAGGUUGCCUCUACUGAAGGUCCCUCAUUAGGAAAGCGGGCUUGCAGUGGUGACAUCAGAGAGAGCAUCCCAUCUGGGCAUGGAAGCGUUGACGAGCCCGGUGGGAUCCCGUCUCCUCCUGUCCUCCAGCUGGUCCCAGAAGCUGAGGUGUUUGCCAAACGUGGACUGAAUCGAAAGGAUCCUGGAUGGAAGUCUGAAAUGAGACACCGGGCUGCUGAAAUGCACCAUGAGGAAAGACUCAGGAGAAGAACGUGACGGCUUCCUGGCUUGAACAGAAGGGCUGUCGGAUGCAGUAGGUGUGCUCCGAGAACGCAUGAACUUCAAAGCAGGAGAAUGUUUCUGUGCUCUUCUAAAUCACCGCCGGAGCCUGCCACUAAAAUUAGCACUUCUUCCCAGCACUGCAGGUUUACUCCCAUGUGUGGUGCUCAGCUCAGUCUUCUUUAAUUGGUGUGGAAGUCCUCAAACCCAGCACGACUACAGGAUGUCAGGAUAAAGCAGCAGGCUCAUGUGAAAAUGGCAGCAUCUGCUCCAUCCUGGCUGAGGUGUCCAGCGGGAGCUAGCAGAGGAGUAUCACACCAGCCCCACAAACCAGCCUCACCUUGUUGGAAACACCGCAUGAAUGUGGAAGAGAGGAGGGGACGCACGCGCAGUGUCACUACAUGACCAGCUCCAGAGACAGGCUUGGUGCAGUGACUACUUCACUGGGGAGCCUGUUCCAGUGUGCAACCACCCUCUCGGUGAAGAACCUCUUCUUGAUGUGAUAUCCUGAUGAUAUGAAGCUGACAUUUGUUUUACAUUUUAUGCAAGUAUUUAAAAGAUCCAAUACCUAUUUCUUCUAUGUAUACAUUUUUGAAGCUUUAAGACUGUGCCACUAACAACCCUUUAUCUCUCUUUUGUCAUUUUCUGAAAUGUUACUAUUACUUUGUCAAAUUUAGACUUGUUAACAGCAAUGAUGACGAUGUUCCUUAUCCAAAAAUCACAAAUGAAAUCGAACAAUUCCCUGGGAAACUGCAGACCACAUGCAUGAUAUGUAAGUAAAAAAUUAGUCCAAAGUUCUGAUAAACAUUUAGUGCCAGCUAGAGCUAUUAUUUGGUCUAGUUCUAAACAGUAAAAUGCUUAUUAUAUACAGAACAGUUGGAUGGAAUAUGGACAUUUGACAAGGGUGGCUCAAGGCAUUUCAUGGUCUGAAUUGUUUGCACGGCCAUAAGGCAGCUGCCCUUUUUUUGUUUAGGCAUGGGCUUGUGCCAGGCUUGGGAAGGGAAGGGCCCUCAGCACUGCAGAGGGCUCAGUCACACAAGGUGCAAGUUACCUUCUCCCGGCUGCGCAAUCUUCAGCUCAACCAGGAGUUUCUUGCAGGACUGAGAGCCUGUUAGGGCUUGCUCCUGAGCUAAAAGCAAACCUGGACAGCAUGAUCAGAUGCCAGUUUACGUCAGGUAAGGAUUUGGUCUUUUGCCUUCACCGUAUUACAACACAAAGAACUGUACCAGCAUUUCUCAAUGAGCACCAUUAACUGACUUUGGUAACAUAUCUGUUGGCAGGCCCAGUAGGAUCACACCAUGUGCUGAACUCCUGUCUCGUGUAAUAGGAAAGCACAGCUGCCAAUUACCUUGCAACUAGAGUCUGUAAGUAUUCAAAACAUAAAUAUGUUCAUAACCAUACACAUAUACACAAAACACAGCAGUAGCAAUAUUACAGGAUGCAGUGCCUACUCUAUGUAACUGCUUUUUAAUACAGAUGCAACACCCACGUAAAUGCUAUUUAAUAUGAAACAACCCCUCCUCGAAGGUCAAUGGCAGCACGCCAAAGGUCAGGUCCAGGCUUCAGCCAGGCUGAGCUGGCUCUGCAGCUAGCUCAAUCCCACUGUCUGUCAACUCUAAUUAAUAGAAGAGUAGCACUAUGGGAAAAUAAUGAGUAUCUGUUAACUUUCUGAGCCGGAGAUUUCUUUUCACGCCAUUUGUAAUUAUUUCUCCCUUUUUCACAAGUGCUCUUUGUGUGAGCGCUCAUUAGGCUUAAGAGAGGAUAAAGUUAUUACAUACAAAAUAUGAUUUAUUUAGGGGUAAGGCUUAAUAGAAGCAACCAGCAAUUGGGUUUGGAGCUCCUGAAUCCCGGGAGGUGCUCUUCGUGUUUUUAAGGGAAGUUUCAGUGAGAUUGCACUUAGCAGACCACUAAGAAGUUGUCACUCUCCAGCUGGUUCUUCUUUUUCUUGCAGCUCUGUUUCAAAACUCGAUAGGAAUAGUACAAGAAGGGCUAGAGGAGAUGACUGUGCUAGUCCCCCGUCUUCGCUAAUGUUCUUCAGAGCAGCGUCCUCGCCUCAAGAUCACAUCAUCGAGUCCAAUGUCCCCAGUUCUUCCUUUCCCCUUCUCCCCUCUGAAAAUAACCUAGGAAAAGAAAAAGAACAAUUGGAGUGCAAGAAUGAAAUGAAAGAAUCUUUGCUUGUCAGGAUCUUUGUGAAGAGCCAGCAGUUCAGGAUGGAGUUAUGACACAAAUCAAGGUGGUGAUUAAAGCCCUGCUCCAGUUGCCAGAUCUGAGGUAAGAACUUCCACAUAGGAGAAUCUGUUGUGCUUUCUAUAGCUCAUUGCUGCACUGUUCUCAUUGUCCCUCACAGCAAACACACAACAUCCUGCCUAGUCUAACAAAAUCCUGUCUAAUGGAGGAGCUUUCCAUCCCUAAAACACCUCACAGCUGACUUGGUCCAAAUGCCAAACAUAGUUGGAACUGGAAACCCCCAACUUUUAUUUAACAAAUUCUGGCUCCUGCAGAGCUGUGGUAAUCUGGAGAAGCACUGACUGCUUGCAAAAUGGCAGUGGAAGUUUGGGCAUGGAUUUACGGAGACGGUUAGCAGUCCAGAUUUAGCCUGCAUAGAAGAAACUCAUCAAACAUAAAGCUCGAGUAGAAGACCGGUAGCAUAAAUCAGGGCAGGGAUGAUUUACAGAACGGCCAGCUGACUUGCCAUAAAUCAGUAUCGCUCACCAGUAUUACUGCCUUACAAGCAGAAGCCUGAAUGGCUUUAAUAUGGUAUUUUUGACCAGGUUUUAAAAACUAUUCAAAGCCUACAGCAAAACUUUGUAACCGUCUGUUGUUAUCACUGAGCUGGAAAGAGUUAAUACAGACUUACAGAUCAGAAAUUCACCUGUGUAGUUAAAAAACAGUUUGGAUGCUUGCUGAAAGCAGACUUUUAUUUUAAAUAAAGCAUAGUAACAGGGGAAGUCAGAGAAGCUAUGUUGAAUAUGCUGAAAUUCUUGUUUAGAAAUAAGUGAUUUUGGAUGUGCUGUAUAAAUAGUUUACACAAAGCAAAGUCAUUAGAAAGUCUGAUAAAGGAUUCCAGUCUCUACUCAUAUUCUCAGGUUUUCAGAAGGCCCCCCCAAAACCACUAGUAUUUAAUUGCUUUUGCUUUUUAAUUAGGUAGAAAAUUAAGUGUCCAUUUUUCCUACAGACUUUUCUGUGGCUAGGGCCUUCCCUGCUUAUCUAGCGUUUUUUCUCAUUCCCUGAUCCUUGGAAUAAAUGUCACAAAUGCUUUAGGUCAGCAACCCAGCUACCCAGCCUGGCUGGAGAAGUUCCCAAACUUGACGAUUCUGCCAGGUCCUGUGAGGCAGCGAUCAGUUACGGUUUGCGAACCACGCUGACAGCUACUGCUGAGGCAGGGGACAGUGCAAAGGGGAGCUGUUAUUCUUGUUUAAAAGCUUUGGGGGGGGUCCCUAAAACUCAUUUAUUUGUCUGCCAGUAAAUACAUUAGUAAUACAUACUUACUUUAAAAGUGUUCUUAUAGAGACCAUGUUUAACAUAGCACCCUACCUCUGAGGAUCAGUGUUAAACUUAGCAAAAAAUUGUAAGAAUGGGAUAAAUAUAUUGUUCACCUGCUAUAAAUGUCCACAUUCUCAGUCUGACAUUCAUUUACAGCUAACAGAACACCAGGCAUCUUUUUUAUUAUUGCUCUGCUGAAAGCAGAGACUGGAGAAAAAUGCCGAGCAUUUGAUGCAUCAUUUUAAUCACCCAAUGCUUCUAAGAUUUUCAGGUAUUAAAAGAUUCUCCAUGGUACUUCAUACAGCUGCUUCUGAUUAUGUUAAACAAUUUUGUGUUACUGGCAUACCUAGAUCAUCAGUUACCUCCUCAUCCAGAUCAGCUGCAAGUGUGCUGAAGAACGUAAAAACAUGUGCAAUAACACAGACAUCCCCUUGGUGACUGAUUUUAAACCCCAGUGACAUCAAAGCUACCGUGUAAAUUUAUGUAUCUUGUAAGCUGUAUAUGUUUGCUAGUAGAAGGCCAGCAUAAAUGUUACGCUGUAAUCGAGCUACAGCUCUGUACAUUGCUUUUUUCUUGGAAACUGCCUUAACUGGUUAAGUCUCUAAGUGUAUCCAUUUGCAAAUAAGACCAGCCUUUUCAUUUAACCAUAAUUGAAACUCUUAAUCUAUCUGAGAUACAGAAAGUUAGAAACAGUUAGUUAUGAUUUCCAAACAGCUAAAGUCUUCUCUAACAGUAGUAAGCUGCUACUGAACACAAGCACUUAAUUCAAAACUCCAUUAUUAUCUCUGAUCAUGUUUGAAGUAAAAGUACCUUCAUAAAAACACCUAGUACAUGAAGAAGUAGAGGAUCUCAUGGAUAUAGCAAUGGCCAUUAAAUGGUUUUUUAGAAAAAAAGAAAAAAAAUUUAUACAUCCAUAAAUCCCAUACACCUUUUCAUGUAGGUACUUAGAACUACAAUAAAUGGAACUUCAAAUCCUGCAGAAAACUCACACCUGUCUUUUAUCUUUGAACUUUUCAUUAAAACAUUUUCAAGGUGGAUGAUAACUUUUCAAAUUUAAACUGACCAAAGGGGGGGGUGGUACUCUUAAAAGAGAAAAAGGAAAGAAAGAAAGAAAUCUUAUUUUACUCUUAACCUAAGAAUCUAUUUUUAAUAUAUGAGAGCAGAGUAUCAAAGGAUCUAAGUUAAGGUAAAGGGUCCAGGCAGCCCUCGUAAUUGAAACCAAUGCUGUAGGUUUUGAUAUUUUUUUUCUAAAUACUGCAUAUUAAUAAGAAUAUAUUCUUAACAGUUAAAUUGUUGCCAUGCUACUACCAGGAUUUGUCAAUCACUUAAAAGUAAAGCAAACGAUGUCUCCAAUUCACUACUUCUACACGGGUUUUAAAGUUCCUUUGGCCUCAGUGAGAUUUAACUAAGCCAAGUAUUUUUCUGCUAAGGCCUCACGUCUGCAUUUGGGCGUGAAGUGGGAUCCAUUUGUCCAAGUAUCUGUUAAAGCUUUCUUUUUUUAUUAAUGAAUUGUUUUUGCAUCAAAGUCACUAACUGCUAAAAUAAGAGAAUUCAAAUAGCUGCACCUGUUGUAGAUACAAUUAUUUCACUCUGAAAGUACUGACCUGACUCAUUACCUGCAUGUGUUUCAGAUAGUUACAGUGACUGAACCCAAUCAAUAGGAAACAGAUUUAGUAAGCACAAAGCCAACAUAGCUGUAGGCAUGCCCCUACAGGAAAAGGUCCCCUCAAAGCAGCAUUUUCUGCAUGCGAGAUAAGCUUAUAAGGCUUCAGCGUGGCACCUUUCAAAAUACAGAUUCUGAUAAACCAAUAAAUGCCAAACUUUGAAAGGUGAAAGCAAACACUCCCGCGCAAGCUGUGAAAAUAAAUCUCUGAAACAAGGUAUUCCAGACAGGAGGGAGUGGGGUGGGUGACUUCAAGGGACUAGUUUUAACAGGUUGUGUCAACAGCAAUAGAACAGGCACAGGAAACAAAAAGCUGAGUGUCCCUGAUUGGAAAGCAACACCAGGGGAAAAAAGGUCUAAGAAAAAGACGGUUAAAAAUCAUGGCUCUGGAACUUAGUACAUAUUAAAAACAAUUUUUGAAUACAGAUAAUUGAUAUGCUUUAAUAACGUACUUUCUCAGAAAUACAGUGGUUUUGACUCCAUUGUUUAAAACAGUGUGGGAGUUAUGGGCGGCCUUUUUAAACAUGCCAGCCUGCAUGCAGGACAUGGCUCCAUUUUCUGUUCUGCAGGAGGAGGAAGCUCUGCCCUUUGAGUCAUCCAUGAGACUCUUGAAGUGUCAUAACAAGCUACAGAAAACAAGAGCAUGCCUGUGGGCAGGAGGCACUUCUACUUAGCCAUCCAAACAGCCUGAAAAAAGCUGCUGGGCACACCUGCCCUGGUGGCAAACGACUGUCCCAUCAUGGCAAUGUAAGCACAGACUUCUAUGACAAGGUGGGAUGUAGGGAAAAUGGACCUCGGUGCCCUCAUCCUCCCUCAGCUUAACCUACAGCAUCUGAGAGCGUUUCCUUCUGAAGCCAGCCAUCCGCUCACAUAAUGCGAGCAUUGUGCACUUCAAAGGCUGCUCUUCAGGGGAUGAAGUAAUCCCUUCCUUACCUUACAAGAAGCCAGAGACGUGUGGUGUGUCUGAUACCCGGGGCUGCAAUGCGGGCACUGCAAGGGGCAGGGUGCGUGGACACGCACCCCCUCAGUGCCGCAGGGUAACACCUACAGGGGCCUCACCCAGCUCACCGGUAACUUGGCGGAGCAGCCCUUCUGCCGGGACCACACCCGGAGGUGUGUGACUGAAAGGGUCUCACCUAACGGUGCCACUCCCCUGUCCUGCAGGUGGCUAGCGCACGCUCCCCUUUAACAGUCAUUUCAAGGUCACUUUUGUCCACCCCAAGCGUACACUUAGACAUACUCAGAAAUUGCUGCCCAUUACCAGCCUAGUCUUCCUUCCUUCCAGCUACUUAACAAUUUUCCUAUACACCAGUUUCUGUAAUUUAGCGUUGAAUUUAAUAAAAUGAAGCUGAGAGACUGAACUAAACCAAGAACAUUAUAUUUGGCAGCAGAACAAAGACUAGUCCCAGCACUUUCUUUAAUUUUACUACUAAUAUGGAAAUAAUUAUGUCUGUGUGGUGAUUUGAAAAAUAAGCUUUGUUUCUCCAUAAAUAAAAGUUGUUCUCUACUCCA